GACGAACGCUGGCGGCGUGCUUAACACAUGCAAGUCGAACGGAAAGGCCCUGCUUGCCGGGUACUCGAGUGGCGAACGGGUGAGUAACACGUGGGUGAUCUGCCCCGCACUUCGGGAUAAGCCUGGGAAACUGGGUCUAAUACCGGAUAGGAGCCAUUUUUAGUGUGAUGGUUGGAAAGUUUUUUCGGUGUAGGAUGAGCUCGCUGCCUAUCAGCUUGUUGGUGGGGUAAUGGCCUACCAAGGCGGCGACGGGUAGCCGGCCUGAGAGGGUGGACGGCCACAUUGGGACUGAGAUAAGGCCCAGACUCCUACGGGAGGCAGCAGUGGGGAAUAUUGCACAAUGGGCGCAAGCCUGAUGCAGCGACGCCGCGUGGGGGAUGACGGCCUUCGGGUUGUAAACUCAUUUCGCUAGGGACGAAGCUUUUUGUGACGGUACCUAGAGAAGAAGCACCGGCUAACUACGUG
rnacentral:rRNA from 1 species